GGGUUGUGAGGUUAAGCGACUAAGCGUACACGGUGGAUGCCCUGGCAGUCAGAGGCGAUGAAGGACGUGCUAAUCUGCGAAAAGCGCCGGCGAGGUGAUAUGAACCUUUGACCCGGCGAUGUCCGAAUGGGGAAACCCAGUGUGUUCCGACACACUAUCGUUAACUGAAUACAUAGGUUAACGAGGCGAACCGGGGGAACUGAAACAUCUAAGUACCCCGAGGAAAAGAAAUCAACCGAGAUUCCCCCAGUAGCGGCGAGCGAACGGGGAGCAGCCCAGAGUCUGAAUCAGCUUGUGUGUUAGUGGAAGCGUCUGGAAAGUCGCACGGUACAGGGUGACAGUCCCGUACACGAAAAUGCACAGGUUGUGAACUCGAAGAGUAGGGCGGGACACGUGGUAUCCUGUCUGAAUAUGGGGGGACCAUCCUCCAAGGCUAAAUACUCCUGACUGACCGAUAGUGAACCAGUACCGUGAGGGAAAGGCGAAAAGAACCCCGGCGAGGGGAGUGAAAAAGAACCUGAAACCGUGUACGUACAAGCAGUGGGAGCACCUUCGUGGUGUGACUGCGUACCUUUUGUAUAAUGGGUCAGCGACUUAUAUUCUGUAGCAAGGUUAACCGUAUAGGGGAGCCGAAGGGAAACCGAGUCUUAACUGGGCGUUAAGUUGCAGGGUAUAGACCCGAAACCCGGUGAUCUAGCCAUGGGCAGGUUGAAGGUUGGGUAACACUAACUGGAGGACCGAACCGACUAAUGUUGAAAAAUUAGCGGAUGACUUGUGGCUGGGGGUGAAAGGCCAAUCAAACCGGGAGAUAGCUGGUUCUCCCCGAAAGCUAUUUAGGUAGCGCCUCGUGAACUCAUCUUCGGGGGUAGAGCACUGUUUCGGCUAGGGGGCCAUCCCGGCUUACCAACCCGAUGCAAACUACGAAUACCGAAGAAUGUUAUCACGGGAGACACACGGCGGGUGCUAACGUCCGUCGUGAAGAGGGAAACAACCCAGACCGCCAGCUAAGGUCCCAAAGUCAUGGUUAAGUGGGAAACGAUGUGGGAAGGCACAGACAGCCAGGAUGUUGGCUUAGAAGCAGCCAUCAUUUAAAGAAAGCGUAAUAGCUCACUGGUCGAGUCGGCCUGCGCGGAAGAUGUAACGGGGCUAAACCAUGCACCGAAGCUGCGGCAGCGACGCUUAUGCGUUGUUGGGUAGGGGAGCGUUCUGUAAGCCGUUGAAGGUGUGCUGUGAGGCAUGCUGGAGGUAUCAGAAGUGCGAAUGCUGACAUAAGUAACGAUAAAGCGGGUGAAAAGCCCGCUCGCCGGAAGACCAAGGGUUCCUGUCCAACGUUAAUCGGGGCAGGGUGAGUCGACCCCUAAGGCGAGGCCGAAAGGCGUAGUCGAUGGGAAACAGGUUAAUAUUCCUGUACUUGGUGUUACUGCGAAGGGGGGACGGAGAAGGCUAUGUUAGCCGGGCGACGGUUGUCCCGGUUUAAGCAUGUAGGCGGAGGUUCCAGGUAAAUCCGGUACCUUUUAACGCUGAGGUGUGAUGACGAGGCACUACGGUGCUGAAGUAACAAAUGCCCUGCUUCCAGGAAAAGCCUCUAAGCAUCAGGUAACAUCAAAUCGUACCCCAAACCGACACAGGUGGUCAGGUAGAGAAUACCAAGGCGCUUGAGAGAACUCGGGUGAAGGAACUAGGCAAAAUGGUGCCGUAACUUCGGGAGAAGGCACGCUGAUAUGUAGGUGAAGCCCCUGCGGGUGGAGCUGAAAUCAGUCGAAGAUACCAGCUGGCUGCAACUGUUUAUUAAAAACACAGCACUGUGCAAACACGAAAGUGGACGUAUACGGUGUGACGCCUGCCCGGUGCCGGAAGGUUAAUUGAUGGGGUUAGCGGCAACGCGAAGCUCUUGAUCGAAGCCCCGGUAAACGGCGGCCGUAACUAUAACGGUCCUAAGGUAGCGAAAUUCCUUGUCGGGUAAGUUCCGACCUGCACGAAUGGCGUAAUGAUGGCCAGGCUGUCUCCACCCGAGACUCAGUGAAAUUGAACUCGCUGUGAAGAUGCAGUGUACCCGCGGCAAGACGGAAAGACCCCGUGAACCUUUACUAUAGCUUGACACUGAACACUGGUCCUUGAUGUGUAGGAUAGGUGGGAGGCUUUGAAGUGUGGACGCCAGUCUGCAUGGAGCCGUCCUUGAAAUACCACCCUUUAAUGGCUGGUGUUCUAACGUAGACCCGUGAUCCGGGUUGCGGACAGUGUCUGGUGGGUAGUUUGACUGGGGCGGUCUCCUCCCAAAGAGUAACGGAGGAGCACGAAGGUUAGCUAAUCCUGGUCGGACAUCAGGAGGUUAGUGCAAUGGCAUAAGCUAGCUUGACUGCGAGAGUGACGGCUCGAGCAGGUGCGAAAGCAGGUCAUAGUGAUCCGGUGGUUCUGAAUGGAAGGGCCAUCGCUCAACGGAUAAAAGGUACUCCGGGGAUAACAGGCUGAUACCGCCCAAGAGUUCAUAUCGACGGCGGUGUUUGGCACCUCGAUGUCGGCUCAUCACAUCCUGGGGCUGAAGUAGGUCCCAAGGGUAUGGCUGUUCGCCAUUUAAAGUGGUACGCGAGCUGGGUUUAGAACGUCGUGAGACAGUUCGGUCCCUAUCUGCCGUGGGCGCUGGAGAAUUGAGGGGGGCUGCUCCUAGUACGAGAGGACCGGAGUGGACGCAUCACUGGUGUUCGGGUUGUCAUGCCAAUGGCACUGCCCGGUAGCUAAAUGCGGAAAAGAUAAGUGCUGAAAGCAUCUAAGCACGAAACUUGCCCCGAGAUGAGUUCUCCCUGAGACUUUAAGUCUCCUGAAGGAACGUUGAAGACGACGACGUUGAUAGGUCGGGUGUGUAAGCGCAGCGAUGCGUUGAGCUAACCGAUACUAAUGAACCGUGAGGCUUAACCUUACAACGCCGAAGGUGUUU
rnacentral:rRNA from 2 species